AAUAAUAAAAAAUAAAAAAUAAAGAAAAAUAAUAUAACUAAUAAUAAUAGAUAAGAAAUAAAUAAAUAAAUAAAAUAAACUAGGCAAACAGUGGUGGGGGUGCCAGAAUAAACGGCGAUGAGCCGACGAGGGCGAGGCGGUCGACAGGCGUGCGGUGGGUGGAGUGAGGGAGAAAUAGAAGAAGAGAAAAAGAAAGAAGAAGAGGGGUCGGGUUCAAUGAAGGAAGGAGAAGGCCGUGGGAGGGAAGGUCGGUUGGGGCUAGCUCGUGCAUGGUUCGAAUGGAAGAGGAAAGGGAAAACAAGGAGAAGGGUAAGGGUGGAGACGGUGGAACAAAUGACGACGGUGGCCGGAGGGGAGUGGAGUUGGGUCAAGGGAAGUCGGCGGCUA
rnacentral:lncRNA from 1 species